rnacentral:misc_RNA from 1 species
UACAAGGUUAUUACGCACGUGUGUAAAUGUGCACACACUGCACUCCCAAGUCUAUAAAAGUGUCGUGGAUGGACAAUUCCAGCAGUGAGAAAAGAGAGACCAGUGGAAGAGAACGUGGGAUUAUUGAAAGUGUCAACCGUCGAAGCAGAUUCGGGACUAUAACGCUGCUGUCAGCUCUUCGAAAUCCGAUUCCGGCCUCAGAUCUACAAGCAGGAGAAAAUGGUUUCUUUGGCGAUGUCCUCGCUGUUUUCGCUGACCAUGUGCGUGCUUCUGGUAUCCGUGACUUCAAAUCCAGUGACGUCACAACCAGGUCAAUGGUCCAGCUGGGGCGAAUGGAGCCUUUGUUCUGCCACCAAGUGCGGAGAUGCUGGCUAUAAGUAUCGGGAAAGACAAUGUGUGG